AUUGAACGCUGGCGGCAGGCCUAACACAUGCAAGUCGAACGGUAACAGGAAGCAGCUUGCUGCUUUGCUGACGAGUGGCGGACGGGUGAGUAAUGUCUGGGAAACUGCCCGAUGGAGGGGGAUAACUACUGGAAACGGUAGCUAAUACCGCAUAACGUCGCAAGACCAAAGAGGGGGACCUUAGGGCCUCUUGCCAUCGGAUGUGCCCAGAUGGGAUUAGCUAGUAGGUGGGGUAACGGCUCACCUAGGCGACGAUCCCUAGCUGGUCUGAGAGGAUGACCAGCCACACUGGAACUGAGACACGGUCCAGACUCCUACGGGAGGCAGCAGUGGGGAAUAUUGCACAAUGGGCGCAAGCCUGAUGCAGCCAUGCCGCGCGUAUGAAGAAGGCCUUCGGGUUGUAAAGUACUUUCAGCGGGGAGGAAGGGAGUAAAGUUAAUACCUUUGCUCAUUGACGUUACCCGCAGAAGAAGCACCGGCUAACUCCGUG
rnacentral:rRNA from 1 species